AGCUCCGGCGCCAGAGGAUGGGUCUGCGGCCUAUCAGGUAGUAGUGGGUGUAGCGUACCUACUAGCCUACGACGGGUACGGGUUGUGAGAGCAAGAGCCCGGAGAUGGAUUCUGAGACACGAAUCCAGGCCCUACGGGGUGCAGCAGGCGCGAAAACUUUACAAUGCCGGCAACGGCGAUAAGGGGACCUCGAGUGCCAGGUUACAAAUCUGGCUGUCGUGAUGCCUAAAAAGCAUUGCAUAGCAAGGGCCGGGCAAGACCGGUGCCAGCCGCCGCGGUAACACCGGCGGCUCGAGUGGUAACCGUUAUUAUUGGGUCUAAAGGGUCUGUAGCCGGCCGGAUAAGUCUCUUGGGAAAUCUGGCAGCUUAACUGUCAGGCUUUCAGGAGAUACUGUCUGGCUCGAGGCCGGGAGAGGUGAGAGGUACUUCAGGGGUAGGGGUGAAAUCUUGUAAUCCUUGAAGGACCACCAGUGGCGAAGGCGUCUCACCAGAACGGACCUGACGGCAAGGGACGAAAGCUAGGGGCACGAACCGGAUUAGAUACCCGGGUAGUCCUAGCCGUAAACGAUACUCGCUAGGUGUCGGCCACGGUGCGACCGUUGUCGGUGCCGUAGGGAAGCCGUGAAGCGAGC
rnacentral:rRNA from 1 species